AUCCUUUUCCAGUUCAUAAGCAUGAUAAUCAGGUGUUCGAAUGUUUGUGUGACAUGUGCCUUUCUUAACUCUUGUUAUACACUUGGCCCUUUACCCAUCUGAUA
ensembl:snoRNA